rnacentral:rRNA from 1 species
UACGAAGGGUGCAAACGUUGCUCGGAAUUAUUGGGCGUAAAGCGCACGUAGGCGGCAUCGCAAGUCGGAUGUGAAAUCCCACGCCUUAACCAUGGAAGUGCAUCCGAAACUGCAAGGCUCGAGUCCGGAAGAGGGGGGCGGAAUUCCCAGUGUAGCGGUGAAAUGCGUAGAUAUUGGGAGGAACACCAGUGGCGAAGGCGGUCCCCUGGGCCGGAACUGACGCUGAGGCGCGAAAGCGUGGGUAGCAAACGGG